AGCGAACGCUGGCGGCAGGCCUAACACAUGCAAGUCGAACGAAGUCUUCGGACUUAGUGGCGGACGGGUGAGUAACACGUGGGAACGUGCCUUUAGGUUCGGGAUAACUCAGGGAAACUUGUGCUAAUACCGAAUGUGCCCAUCGGGGGAAAGAUUUAUCGCCUUUAGAGCGGCCCGCGUCUGAUUAGCUAGUUGGUGAGGUAAAGGCUCACCAAGGCGACGAUCAGUAGCUGGUCUGAGAGGAUGAUCAGCCACAUUGGGACUGAGACACGGCCCAAACUCCUACGGGAGGCAGCAGUGGGGAAUCUUGCGCAAUGGGCGAAAGCCUGACGCAGCCAUGCCGCGUGAAUGAUGAAGGUCUUAGGAUUGUAAAAUUCUUUCACCGGGGACGAUAAUGACGGUACCCGGAGAAGAAGCCCCGGCUAACUUCGUGCCAGCAGCCGCCGUAACAC
rnacentral:rRNA from 1 species